GAUGAACGCUGGCGGCGUGCCUAAUACAUGCAAGUCGAGCGAACAGACGAGGAGCUUGCUCCUCUGACGUUAGCGGCGGACGGGUGAGUAACACGUGGAUAACCUACCUAUAAGACUGGGAUAACUUCGGGAAACCGGAGCUAAUACCGGAUAAUAUAUUGAACCGCAUGGUUCAAUAGUGAAAGACGGUUUUGCUGUCACUUAUAGAUGGAUCCGCGCCGCAUUAGCUAGUUGGUAAGGUAACGGCUUACCAAGGCGACGAUGCGUAGCCGACCUGGGAGGGUGAUCGGCCACACUGGAACUGAGCCACGGUCCAGACUCCUACGGGAGGCAGCAGUAGGGUAUCUUCCGCAAUGGGCGAAAGCCUGACGGGGCACAGCCGCGUGAGUGAUGAAGGUCUUCGGAUCGGAAAACUAUGUUAUUAGGGAAGAACAAAUGUGUAAGUAACUAUGCACGUCUUGACGGUACCUAAUCAGAAAGCCACGGCUAACUACGUG
rnacentral:rRNA from 1 species